GGAACUUUCAUCUCAUUGCUAAAACUUGGGUAAACUGUGGGCAUACAAAAUACAUCUUUGUUUUUGUUGCCUUACAAACAUGGCUGUGAACAAACCGAAUGUUGGCAAACAAUUGUAUAUCCAUUUUCACUUAUUAUGAUAUUUCUGAAAGUGAAAGGGACUAAGGAUAGCACAGAGAGCAGAGAGCACACGGGUUAUGUUGGAAAAAUUGGUCGAAGUUACAAUGCAUUAGCUGGCAUAAAUAUAGCACAACUAGCAUGCCUAGAUGCACACAACGUUGAUGGUAAGAUAUGCUUGACAACUACCUAACAGGAUCAGAUUAUUCAUUCUGUAAAUGUAAAAAAAUAUUAUUGUCUUCACAACGUCCACCACUGAAUAUCUCUAUGUAUUUCUAGACCUUGAUUUGAUAUUAAAAAGACAAUCCAAUUUAUCUUCUCGCUUAUGUCCUGGAAGGUUUCAUGAUCUAUAUCUAUAUUCGUGAUUGCUACUGCAUGUGUUCUGACUCGGCUUGUACCUUCAUUAAAAUGAAGUAAUACUUAAGCUAUGUAUGAGUCUGAUUCGUGCAAGCCUUGUUCCUACUGCUGCCACCUUGUAUAAAUAUAUACUGGUUCGUGCAAUACUUGCUCCUACUUCAAAUUUUUAGUCUGAACGUACCUAUAUAUAUUUGCAUCAGAUUAAAUUUGUAGUCUGAUUCGUGAAGUAGUAGCAAGGGUUGUUCCUACUGCUGCCACCAUGUAUAAAUAUAUACUGGUUAAUUUCAUUUAACUAUUUUUUCUGUCACAAAUAAUAGUACUAUGCUGGUCAAGUGGGCAGCGUAUAGAAUCGUCUUGCACAGAAGUAACACGGAUAAUAUAAUCAAUUGGUUUAUGAUAGAAAAUCAUUUCUGUAUAUCCUGAAUGAAUAUAAACGAUGCAUGAUUAUUUCAAGUUGCACUUUCCUAUCUAUUAUCUCAUUGUUUAUCAAGUAUUUUCAUGUUUCAUAGUCCACUGCAUUACAAUGGGUUUAUAUGGCCUCAACUACUGCUGCUAUAGUAGGAGUUCUGUGAUGUGUGUUUCGUCACUUUGUCAUUUGACACACUUUUUUGGGUUAAUUUUAAGCAACCUCAUGUUUAAUCUUGUUUUAUAGUAGAUACAAUGUUAUUCUCAUUUGUAGGCACUACAAGAUUUAAGAAUUCUGGACAUGUAAUUCAUUUUUAUAUUUGUUGCAAUUUUCUUAUUUCUACUAUCUAUCCAUAUGUGCAAAUAUCUAAUAUUCUUGUUAAUAUGCUAGUUAAGAUUGGAUACUGUGCUACUUGGUGCUGCCCAUCACGGCAUGAUCGUUGCCAUCAAGAACAUCGAUGGCAAGAGCUUGAAUAACAACCUCGAUAGUUUAUAUGUUCUGUUGAUGUAAAAUGGAUUGUACUGGUUCAUAACUCUGUUGUGUGAUAUAUUUUGUCAAUCUAUGUUGUAUGUCAUCACUUUGUAGAGGAUUUUUUAAACUGCUGUGUUGUAGAUACAUACAGAUGGCUGUGUUAAACUUUGUAAUGUUUCACACCUUGCAAAUAUUUUUUGUUGGGAAAAUUUGGCAUUAGGAUUUGUGUAACGCCCUUUAAAUUGGCCCUUAAAAACAUAGUCAAAU
rnacentral:lncRNA from 1 species